CUCUCUUCUCUGUUCACUUCCUGCUCAUGGGACUCCUGCCUCUCCUGGGCUUGGCCGCUCCUGUCUUGGCAAGCCCCAGACCCUGCCUUGGAUUUCUUUCUGGCCUCCAAGUGGGCGCUUGGCUCCUGGCACCUGGCAGCCUUGGCUGUCUCCCCAGCCCCACUGUCCUGCCUCUCUGCUUGGGACCCAUGGGAGCUGCCAUCUCCCCAGCCCCAGGUCUGUUCUACAGCUGAGCUCCCCACUUCAUGUCUUCUGUCAUCUCCAGGCCCUCUCAGCCUUCCAGCCCCCUCGUUUUGGCUGCCUCUAAGGCCCUCCAGGUCCUCCUGGGCUUCCUCCUCUACAAUCUUCCCUGUCUUUCCCACCGCCACCACCCCCAGUUCCUCAGCCGCCUGCGCCUCCCGCUCUACAGUGGGGACUGCAUCUCCCAGGAGGUGAUCUGCCCACCUUGGCCUCCCAAAGUGCUGGGAUGACAGGCAUGAGCCACCACACCCAGACGAGAGGGCACAUUUCCAACUGCAUUCUGAAGGCCUGGUGGUGAGAAAGAGCAUAUAGAGGUGGCACAGCCCAUAG
rnacentral:lncRNA from 10 species